rnacentral:rRNA from 1 species
UACGUAGGGUGCAAGCGUUAAUCGGAAUUACUGGGCGUAAAGCGUGCGCAGGCGGUUUUGUAAGUCUGUCGUGAAAUCCCCCGGGCUCAACCUGGGAAUUGCGAUGGAGACUGCAAGGCUAGAAUCUGGCAGAGGGGGGUAGAAUUCCACGUGUGAGCAGUGAAAUGCGUAGAGAUGUGGAGGAACACCGAUGGCGAAGGCAGCCCCCUGGGUCAAGAUUGACGCUCAUGCACGAAAGCGUGGGGAGCAAACAGG